AGUCAGGAUGGCCGAGUGGUCUAAGGCGCCAGACUCAAGUUCUGGUCUUCGAGAGAGGGCGUGGGUUCAAAUCCCACUUCUGGCAUAUCG
rnacentral:tRNA from 1 species